CUUGCUCAUGGUGGUACUGUUGGGUCUCUGUAAUUAAUGUUUUAAAAAAGUUCGGUCUAGACCUGCUCUAUUUGAAAAGUGUCCUGAGAUAACUUCUGUUAUGAAUUGGCGCUAUACAAAUAAAAUUGAAUUGAAUAAUGAA